rnacentral:rRNA from 1 species
CCCUUAGAUGCUCUGGGCCGCACGCGUGCUACACUGAGUGGAUCAGCGGGUCAGGUUGCGCGAAAGCGUUUCCUAAUCUUGAAAUCCGCUCGUGAUGGGGAUUGACGGUUGCAAUUUUCUGUCAUGAACGAGGAAUACCUUGUAAGCGCGAGUCAUCAUCCCGCGCUGAAUACGUCCCUGCCCUUUGUACACACCGCCCGUCGCUCCUACCGAUUGAGUGGUCCGGUGAGGCUUUGGGAUCUGAGCGGAAAGAGCGUUUCGCUCGUUCUGCCCGGAAAACUCAGUCGAACCUUAUCAUUUAGAGGAAGGAGAAGUCGUAACA